UCCAAUCAGUUUUAGCUUUUCUUAUUGCAUUUGGAGAACCUCAGUACAAUUUUAGGUACAGAAGGUAAUAGUGAACAUUUCAUAGUUUAAUGCAGCUUGAGUGGUAAAAUGCUAAAUAACUAUAUCAAUGAGUACAAAGUUUGUUUCAGAGUUUGCCUAUUUAUUAAAACAGUUCCACUUAGCAAUCAAGCUGAAAUUAUCAAGAGAAACACUGAAUACAAACAACACUGUUGGCACUGGGUAUCCAGCCAUUCUGUGCUCUCCCCUGCAAGGUACACUGAAGAAUCAAGGAAUCUUUGACAGUCAGAGGAACAACACUGACAUCUUUUAUUUAUAAAAA